rnacentral:lncRNA from 1 species
CUCUUUAAGCUUUACUUCUUAUAUAUAAAAAGCACUCAAUAUAGUGCCUGGCAUGUAGCAAAUUCUUUUUUUUUUUUUUUUUNNNNNNNNNNUUUUUUUUUUUUUUUUUUUUCAGACAGGGUCUCGCUCUGUCAUCCAAGCUGGAGUGCAGUGGUGCAAUCUCUGCUCACUGCAGCCUCCGCCUCCCUGGUUCAAGCGAUUCUCCUGCCUCAGCCUCCCGAAUAGCUGGGAUUACAGGUAUGUGCCACCACGCCUGGCUGAUUUUUGCAUUUUUAGUAGAGUCAGGGUUUUAACAUGUUGGCCAGGCUGGUCUUGAACCCCUAACCUCAAGUGAUUCACCCGCCUUGGCCUCCCAAAGUGCUGGGAUUACAGAUGUGAGCCACCACGCUUGGCUGCAAAUUCUUAAUAAAGAGAAGAAAAUAAUUUCCAAUGUUGAAAUUAGGAGUUCUGAAGAGCCCUUAGAGCUUGUGGCUUAUUAAGAAAAUAAGCUGAAUAACUAAUAAGUUAAAGUGUGCUGAGAGACCUUCCCUUCCUUGUUUAAAAGGCCUAUCAGGCUGCAAGGCCAACUUGAGCCAGCUGGGGAGGGUCACUCAAAGGAGUGAGAAAGGACGCUGUCUGUCCAUAAAGCACUGCAUGCUGAGAUGCUGAGGGUGGUGACCAAUUCUGGACCACGAACCUUUGGUGUGGUUUAAGGAGCCUCUCCUUGCCUGCCCCAUGGCCCAGCAAGUGUGCGAACAAUGACACACCCAGUUUGAUCAGCUUGGACACACUGGGUGAGAGGAAGUGGUGUCGUGGGAAGGAGUAGGUACAAGGAUAUUGAGAUGGGGAUGCCAUGCUGGAUUAUCCAAGUGUGCCCUUAUAAGAAGGAGGUAAGAAGAGAUUUGACUGUAGAAGUAGAAAGUGUGAGUACAAAACAAAGGUCAGAAAGAUGGAAGAAAGGGGUCAUCAGGCAAUGCUGGAAGCCUCUAGAAGCUGGGAAAGGUGAGAAAAUGAUUCUCCCCUUAGAUCCUCCAGAAAAAGAAAAUG